UACGAAGGGGGCUAGCGUUGUUCGGAAUUACUGGGCGUAAAGGGCGCGUAGGCGGUGUGUCAAGUCAGGCGUGAAAGCCCCGGGCUCAACCUGGGAACCGCGCUUGAGACUGGCAGGCUCGAGUUCGGGAGAGGAUGGUGGAAUUCCCAGUGUAGAGGUGAAAUUCGUAGAUAUUGGGAAGAACACCGAUGGCGAAGGCAGCCAUCUGGACCGACACUGACGCUGAGGCGCGAAAGCGUGGGGAGCAAACAGG
rnacentral:rRNA from 1 species